ACGAAGGGGGCUAGCGUUGUUCGGAAUUACUGGGCGUAAAGCGCGCGCAGGUGGUCUUUCAAGUCAGUGGUGAAAGCCCGGAGCUCAACUCCAGAACUGCCUUUGAUACUGAAGAUCUUGAGUUCGGGAGAGGUGAGUGGAACUGCGAGUGUAGAGGUGAAAUUCGUAGAUAUUCGCAAGAACACCAGUGGCGAAGGCGGCUCACUGGCCCGAUACUGACGCUGAGGCACGAAAGCGUGGGGAGCAAACAGGA
rnacentral:rRNA from 1 species